UCCAGGGACAUGCACCAGCCCACCCGCUUCCUCCUCCCACUGUGGCUUCCUCCAGGCCCACAGCCACCACCCACAUCUCUUGGCUGGCAUGUGUAUGUACAGGUGGAUUUUGCCUUCCCUGCCCCGCUAGUGUGUGUGUGUGUGUGUGUGAACACCUUGGCCUCCCCAGCACAGGAGGUUGCUAGCCUCGAGGAACCAGAGAACAAAGGGCUGAAUACCACUCCCCCAGUUAGAGAGCACAGUCAAGGUAUUAGAAACUGAGCCUUGACCCCCUAAAAUCUUCCAAAAAUGAAG
rnacentral:lncRNA from 10 species